rnacentral:rRNA from 1 species
UGGGGAAUCUUGCGCAAUGGGCGAAAGCCUGACGCAGCGACGCCGCGUGAGUGAUGAAGGCCUUCGGGUUGUAAAGCUCUGUGGAGGGGGACGAAUAAGCGACGGCGAACAGCCGGCGUGAUGACGGUACCCCUUUAGCAAGCACCGGCUAACUCUGUGCCAGCAGCCGCGGUAAGACAGAGGGUGCAAACGUUGUUCGGAAUUACUGGGCGUAAAGCGCGUGUAGGCAGCCACGCAAGUCGGGUGUGAAAGCCCUGGGCUCAACCUAGGAAGUGCACUCGAAACUGCGGGGCUGGAGUCCUGGAGAGGAAGGCGGAAUUCUCGGUGUAGAGGUGAAAUUCGUAGAUAUCGAGAGGAACACCGGUGGCGAAGGCGGCCUUCUGGACAGUGACUGACGCUGAGACGCGAAAGCGUGGGGAGCAAACAGGAUUAGAUACCCCCGUAGUCC